GAACAGUAGAAAAUCACAGACAGAGCUGAAGACCCUGAGAGAACGUAUUAUAGCUUCUGAAGAAGGAAUUAGGGAUUACAAUUUAAAGACCAUGAAAAUGGCAUAGCCAAACUGGAAGGAGAGAUUGGCCAGACACAGGACAAAUAUCCCUGUGCACGGGAGAAGCUGUUGGAAGAGCAGUCUCGGCUCAAAAUUCUCCAGCUGAACUUGGCUGCAGCAUAAAAACAGAUAAAACACCACAUUGCUCAGGAGUCUGCUGGGACCUUGUGCUGAUUUCUCACUCUGCUUCCUGCUAUGCUGCUGCCAGAAGGGGACCAAUAAUG